rnacentral:lncRNA from 1 species
GUCGCACUGAUCCUGAAUGGGACAUGAAGUUUGCGGCAGUACCUCGUCGUUACCACUAGGUGGCACUAUCACAAAGGACAACGGAGGGUCCUGAAACCCAGAACUGCAAAGGGCAGGUGCCAGGCUGUUGUCAGGCCUGAUGGGUUUGGGACCAAUUCACCCUGUGAACCAUUGGCCCUUCCAUCGUCACCACCUCAGUUUUUUGGAAGCUGACUGGACCUUGGUGCUGGGCUACUGAUUCACUCAGUGAAUUUAGCAGAAAGCUUUAAUUGGUCAAGUUUAACUCCGGAUGCUUAAAGAAAUUCCUGUGCUUUGAGCCUGAGGGGUGGGGCUGGCUUUCUAAUGACCGGAGCAGCCUGAACAUUUAGCUGCGUACCGUCUUUGUGCCUAUGUCCACAAGCUGGAAGCAUAAAAUACUAGGGUAAGCCAGUCCUAGGAGAACAGGGUUGUUAGUCCUACCUGGAUAACUUAAUAAACUCCUGUCUCGGCCAAAUAAUUAAUAAAUAAGGGCUGGGAGUGUGGUAGAAUGCUUGCCUAGCAAGUAGAAGCUCCGAAUUUGAUACCCUCCCCCAUCAUCACACACAAAAAAAGUCUAUAAUUUAUUAAGCAUUCCCCAAGCCAGGAAUAUUUAGCAAAUAUUUCUAAUCCUUAACACCAUUGCAAGGUGAGCUCUUUAACCUAUAUUUUACAGAUCAAGGUUAGGAUCUAUAGCUACUGAGCAGAACUUCUAGGUCUGUCUCCAUGUCCUCUACCCUGUUCUGUCUGCUUGCCUGCUUCCUUUAUUGUUAUUGUCAGGGUCUUGCUAUAUAGUUCAGGCUGGCUUGAAUCUUAUUCUCUUGUCUUAGUUUCCCAGUGCUUAACUUAUGGCACAUAUGCACCACCUUGCUCAACUACCCUAUUCUACUAGCCCCACACACUUCCUUUUAGAACUUUUCACAGAUCACAUGACCUUUAGCCCUUACCCAAGGAAUUGGAAUUUGAGGUCCUCCUCACUCAGCCUUCAAGUACUGAGAUUACAUGUAUGCAUUUACUUAUUGUCCUGAAGACUGAGCCCAGGGCCUCAUCCGUGCUAGGCUUUGUCAUUGAGAAACCCAGAAGUCAAGGUCAGUGGGGCAUUGUGCCUUCUGUUGCUACUUCCUUCAGCAUCUCAGCUCUUUCGGUUGCUGCUAAGCUUCAUGUGAAAUCACACCUAAAAUAAUUGGGCAUGAGUGGGGUCACCAUCUGAACUGGAAAUGAAGUGGAUAUAUUUAUUUAGUGAAUGCAGAGGCAAGCGAUUAAAUACGACCUACCCUCAUGGAAUUCAUAUUAAGGAAAAACAAAACUACAAAACAAACUGCCUUGUUAAAUGUGGGAAAUGAACAAAUAUUUACUGAGCACCUACUGUGUAUGAUACACUGAAGAAACAACAUUGAAUGAAACAGAUUCAUUCAGUCCUUAUUUUCUCAACCUAACAGGAAAUCAGACACUUGGGCCAGUCAGAUGCCACACAAGCUUAGUGUCUUGAGUUUAAUCUUAGGUACCCAAAGUAGAAGAGCAUAGGCUCCAAAAAGCUGUCCUCUUAUCUCCACACACCACGCCAUGGCCUUUGCCCUGCCCCUAACAAUGAAUAAAAACUAAGAAAAGCAGACAUUAAUGCACAGACACACACUCAGGCACUGACUUUUAGUUGUAGUAAGUGCCUCAGCGGAGACUAGUGAUCUGGAAAGGAGUUCUGAGGAAAUGACACUGAUUUCUGAAGAGUGAGUAGCACAGUAGGAGCAAGAGCUGACAAGUCUCAGGUUACAGAGUGUGAGAACACCAGGAAAGGCUACCAACUCAAUUCAAAUGACAAUUAGAUUUAUUAAAACUGCAAGUAGGUGACAGCCUUAAAGCCUCAUCAAAGGCAUGCUGCCAACAAGGGGUUAAGAGAAGGAUUAUUUUGAAGGUGGACACGACAAUUAUCUUGCUUCUGUGGAACUUGUAACUGUAAGAAAAUGCCUAACUUCCCUCAGCUAUGUGAGGCACUGUCUCUUUCCCCUUGUUCACAGCUCUAAAGGGGAUACCUCUGAAAAAAGUGAUAAACGGGUUUACAGAAGCCAGGCAGGCUGUUAAUCAUCUCACAGCAGUUACGCCAUUCUGUGGAGGGUGGGGUUUGCUAGGUGUUCAUCUUUUAGAACUUUAGGGCAGAGCUCUACCAGUGGGUAUCAAAGAAGUACCUGGUACAGAAUGUAGUUUCCUUAGUCAUCACAAUGGCACACAGGGUUUUAAGGAAAGAUGUAUCAAACUGAAGGAACAGAAGAAGAAUUGGUCUAGAAUAGAGGAGAAUGAUGUAGGUAGGGCAGGCAAAGACCAGAUCUUGGAGCAUUUAGGGAUUUGAGCUUAUUGUAAGAACUGGAAGAUCGAAAGGUCAACAGAGCCUUAAUCUGUGGAAGCAAUAUCAGUAGCAGCACUAACAGAGCUGAGCUGUGUGGGAAACCAAGAUUUGGUUGUGAAGUGGAAGGAGGUUAGGAAGAAAGGCAUAAAUUCUAGGACAAAGGAGGGGAUCCAGCACUCGGGAUGCUGAGACGGAAAGAUCAUGAAUUUGAUGCCAGCCUAAGCUACACAGACCCUGUCUUAAAAAAAAAGAAAAGAAAAGAAAAGAGAAAUAGGAUUGUAGGGUUAUCUCAGUGGCAGAGUAUAAACUUUUAAUUUUUUCUAAUGUCUCCUUUUCUUACAAACAGUAACCAGUUCUUUUAACUUCUUGCCAGCCCUGUAGUCCCCGAGUGGUGCACUGUAAGAGCUGUCAGAGCGUCAGCCCUUCUUUCCGGCUUGCAGCUGCCGUGUCAUACCACCACAAGAGUUUUCAAAAAUGACAGUAGCACAACACCUCCUCACCUGCUGUCAUGAGCAUUACCACAGGAGCUGUCCACGGUGAUGGUGCCUUCUUCCUACCUCAGCCUGUGGCCAUCAUGAAAUAACAUUAAAGGAAGGAGUUACUGCAGGAGCUGUCCACAGUGGGCACCCUCGCAGACCGCCCCCACCAAUUGCUGAUCUUCACAAGCUUAGGACUUGAAAUCCCACCAAUCUUCACAUUGGAAAUCUGCCCCGAAAAGUUCUACCCCCUGAGAAAUCCUAUGUAAGCCCUGCCCUUUGUUCAAUGUCUGCUUUGUUCAAUGUCAUUUCCAGAAGCCACCCCUGGAUUUGUUCUUUCUCCUCCUGGAUUCAUCUCUCCAAUCUCUUUCAUGAGAUUUGCUGCCUGGUAUGACUCUUAUAAGCCGAGAAGCAAUGAAGAGAAGGGAAGAAUUAAAGCAGGGGAGGGGCUCAGGUUCCUGAUCUCUUCAGCUUGGCUGGGGAUGCCCUUCCCUGGGAGCUGCAGUGUCUCUGCUGAGAAGGCUUCCAGAAUCUCAGAGAUCUUCCUGGACUCCCGUGUCUCGGGAUGCCCUGCCCUUGGGACACUGCCCCACCUCAGAGCUGUGAAGAUCCUGGGCUUCAGAGUCCCGGGCUACCCUUCCACUGAGCCUCCUCCUGCUUUAAUAACUCAGCCCCUUCAAAGGUUUCUCCCAGCCCGUCCUCCCUCAGUUCACCAACAGUAUGCUUGAAGAAUCCCUUCUCUCAGUUUUCUCAGUACUGGCAACUUCAAACUAUAGCAACUGUUCUAGCCUAUCUGCUCAGCUCAGCUUCUCCUGGCUCAGCUGUCACCAACUGUCUUCUGUCUUCUCUUCUUACUCUGUUAGCCAAAUUCACUUUUAGCUCCUUUCUCUUCUCCCUCUGCUAGUCCUGUGUGCUUUCUCAGCCUCAGUUGGCUUUUUUUUUUUUUUUUUUAAUCUCCUGUUCCUAGAAAUCGAAGAGACAACUAACACUGAAAAUCACAGGGUCCGGCAGUUCUAACAGCUAAGAAUUCUUAAAAGGCCAGUUGACUAGCAACUGAGGAUCCUUUAAAGGCCCAGGCUCACAAGAUAAAUCACUACAACAGAGGGCUUGCUGAGCAUGUACAAUAAAUAAUACAGUCCAAGAAUACUUACCCAGAUGGAAAGAGACUUAGUGAAUGAAGGAUGAUCACAAAGGUAUAACACACUUGGAGCCUCUUUGCAAAAUGUCUAAAAUGUAUGUUUUAUGUGUAUAUCUGUAUGCCCAAAAUAUGACAGCUGAGCAGUGGUGGUGCACGCCUUUAAUCCCAGCACUCGGGAGGCAGAGGCAGGCGGAUUUCUGAGUUCGAGGCCAGCCUGGUCUACAAAGUGAGUUCCAGGACAGCCAGGGCUACACAGAGAAACCCUAUCUCGAAAAUACACAUAGUGGGCUAAGAGGUGGCUCAGUGGUUAAGAGCACUGACUGCUCUUCCGAAGGUCCUGAAUUCAAAUCCCAGUAACCACAACCAUUUGCAACGAGAUCUGAUGCCCUCUUCUGGAGUUUCUGAGGACAGCUACAGUGUACUUACAUAUAAUAAAUCUUUUUUUUUUUUUAAACGAUGCUGAGAAUAAAAGUUAUUUAAAAACACAUACUAUAAAA